rnacentral:miRNA from 1 species
CACUCAGUAAGGCAUUGUUCUUC